rnacentral:rRNA from 1 species
GACAGAGGGGGCGAGCGUUGUCCGGAGUCACUGGGCGUAAAGCGCGCGCAGGCGGCAACCUAAGUGUCGUGUGAAAGCCCCCGGCUCAACCGGGGGAGGCCAUGGCAAACUGGGUCGCUCGAGCUGCGGAGAGGCCCCUCGAAUUGCCGGUGUAGCGGUGAAAUGCGUAGAGAUCGGCAGGAAGGCCAAAGGGGAAGCCAGGGGGCUGGCCGCAGGCUGACGCUGAGGCGCGACAGCGUGGAGAGCAAACCGG